rnacentral:misc_RNA from 1 species
ACCAGGGUUACAAAUCCCACUACUCAAUCUCCUACAACUCCCAUUUGAUAGACUCUUAUAUACGGUAUCAGCAGAAUCUUCGAAAAGGUUGAAUGAGGGGGAGCGGCGAGCGAGCCAAGCAACAAGUUUGACGCCAUAAGAGCGACCCAUUAGGUGGUGGCUUUUUAGGGUUUUCCUGGAAUUUUACUGUCUCUGAAUAACAAAAGAGAAAGAUGGGUUCUAGCGUAGGAGUAAGGUAGUUUGGGGUUUAAACCCAGGAAAAACCCUAAAACCUCUGUUAGAGAUUAGAAGGUUCUAGUUACG